rnacentral:piRNA from 1 species
UNCCACUUUGCCUGCACAGUUGUUCUGCGGU